UACGUAGGUCCCGAGCGUUGUCCGGAUUUAUUGGGCGUAAAGCGAGCGCAGGUGGUUUAUUAAGUCUGGUGUAAAAGGCAGUGGCUCAACCAUUGUAUGCAUUGGAAACUGGUAGACUUGAGUGCAGGAGAGGAGAGUGGAAUUCCAUGUGUAGCGGUGAAAUGCGUAGAUAUAUGGAGGAACACCGGUGGCGAAAGCGGCUCUCUGACCUGUAACUGACACUGAGGCUCGAAAGCGUGGGGAGCAAACAGG
rnacentral:rRNA from 1 species